CAGGGAGACAAAACUGAUUGUGAUGCUGAAUAAAUAUUUUAGGCCAUAAUCCUGUCACAUAGGUCGAUCGGUACCUCAGUUUAAUUUUCAAAACUAAGAAAUUAUUUUGUAUAAAUAAAUUCAGUUCGUAAACUUUGUCUAGGUCACACCCAGCAAUGGUACUCCUGGGCCAUUAGCUCAGGUGGUUAGAGCGCACCCCUGAUAAGGGUGAGGUCCCUGGUUCAAGUCCAGGAUGGCCCAUUCGGUGUUGGGGGUAUAGCUCAGUUGGUAGAGCGCCUGCUUUGCAAGCAGGAUGUCAGCGGUUCGAGUCCGCUUACCUCCACUGAUCAACCUUCUGAUAGCGAAGUUUAAGGAGAUUAAUUGCUAAGUGAUCUAGAACUUGUUCUUUAUAAAUGAACGAACCUAGCUUCUUGUCAAUUCAUCUAAAAGUAAUUUUAGUUCACCCUGAUAAGACGCUGGGCUCCCUGCAAAUUAAAAAUUGCAGAGAUGUUCAGUAGAACCUUGACAACUGCAUAGGUGAGUCUGGAAAGAAUAAAGCAUCUCAUGGAUGCAUUGUUUUUAUAACUAUUCUAAAGUUUCAUAAUUAGAAACUUUGUUUAUUAUAUAAAUAAUGUCUAAUUCUUGAGUAAGAGCUAAGACUUUAUGACGUUCUUUCAGUGUUGAAAGGCAUUGAGAGUUUGAUUUCUAUUUUAGGACUUGGUUCCUUAAUUAGAAAGAACAGUGUUGACAACACAUAGCGUUGUAGAGAUUAAU
rnacentral:tRNA from 1 species